rnacentral:rRNA from 1 species
AACGCGAAGAACCUUACCUGGUCUUGACAUCCACAGAACUUGGCAGAGAUGCCUUGGUGCCUUCGGGAACUGUGAGACAGGUGCUGCAUGGCUGUCGUCAGCUCGUGUUGUGAAAUGUUGGGUUAAGUCCCGCAACGAGCGCAACCCUUAUCCUUUGUUGCCAGCGAUUCGGUCGGGAACUCAAUGGAGACUGCCAGUGAUAAACUGGAGGAAGGUGGGGAUGACGUCAAGUCAUCAUGGCCCUUACGACCAGGGCUACACACGUGCUACAAUGGCAUAUACAAAGAGAAGCGACCUCGCGAGAGCAAGCGGACCUCAUAAAGUAUGUCGUAGUCCGGAUUGGAGUCUGCAACUCGACUCCAUGAAGUCGGAAUCGCUAGUAAUCGUGGAUCAGAAUGCCACGGUGAAUACGUUCCCGGGUCUUGUACACACCG